AGAGGGGGAUAGCCCGGCGAAAGUCGGACUAAUACCGCAUGAAGCAGGGGCCCCGCAUGGGGAUAUUUGCUAAAGAUUCAUCGCUGAUAGAUAGGCAUGCGUUCCAUUAGGCAGUUGGCGGGGUAACGGCCCACCAAGCCGACGAUGGAUAGGGGUUCUGAGAGGAAGGUCCCCCACAUUGGUACUGAGACACGGACCAAACUCCUACGGGAGGCAGCAGUGAGGAAUAUUGGUCAAUGGCCGAGAGGCUGAACCAGCCAAGUCGCGUGAGGGAUGAAGGUUCUAUGGAUCGUAAACCUCUUUUAUAAGGGAAUAAAGUGCGGGACGUGUCCCGUUUUGUAUGUACCUUAUGAAUAAGGAUCGGCUAACUCCGUGCCAGCAGCCGCGGUAAUACGGAGGAUCCGAGCGUUAUCCGGAUUUAUUGGGUUUAAAGGGUGCGUAGGCGGCCUUUUAAGUCAGCGGUGAAAGUCUGUGGCUCAACCAUAGAAUUGCCGUUGAAACUGGGGGGCUUGAGUAUGUUUGAGGCAGGCGGAAUGCGUGGUGUAGCGGUGAAAUGCAUAGAUAUCACGCAGAACCCCGAUUGCGAAGGCAGCCUGCCAAGCCAUGACUGACGCUGAUGCACGAAAGCGUGGGGAUCAAACAGGAUUAGAUACCCUGGUAGUCCACGCAGUA
rnacentral:rRNA from 1 species